rnacentral:rRNA from 1 species
GAUUAACGCUGGCGGUGUGCAUAACACAUGCAAGUCGAACGAUGAAACAUUAAUGACCCCUUCGGGGAGAAUUAAAGCGGAUUAGUGGCGAACGGGUGAGUAACGCGUGCGUAACCUGCCUUACAAAAGGGGAUAAACUUUGGCUACGAAGAAUAAUACCCUAUAAAACCAUACAAGCACAUGUCAUACUGGUCAAAGUGAUAGCGGUGUAAGAUGGACUUGCGACUGAUUAGCUUGUUGGUGAGAUAAAAGCCCACCAAGGCAACGAUCAGUAGCCGGCUUGAGAGAGUGUACGGCCCCAUUGGGACGGAGACACGGCCCAGACUCCUACGGGAGGCAGCAGGGGGGAAGUUUGCACAAUGGGGGAAACCCUGAUGCAGCGACGCCGCAUGAUUUAGAAGGCCUUCGGGUUGUAAAAAUCUUUUGUAUAGGAAGAAAAUGACAGUACUAUACGAAUAAGGUCCGGCUAAUUACGUG